rnacentral:rRNA from 1 species
AGCGUAAGUAGCGAACAGRMUUAAAUACCCKGGUAGUCUACGCCGUAAACUAUGAGURCUAGGUGURGGGAGUGUCGACCCUCUUUGUGCCGAAGCUAACGCUUUAAGUGYSCCGCCUGGGGASUACGGUCGCAAGGCUAAAACUCAAAGGAAUUGACGGGGGCCCGCACAAGCAGC